rnacentral:rRNA from 1 species
UACGUAGGGUGCAGGCGUUAAUCGGAAUUACUGGGCGUAAAGCGUGCGCAGGCGGUCUUUUAAGUCAGAUGUGAAAUCCCCGGGCUUAACCUGGGAAUUGCAGUCGAUACUACUUAGCUAGAGUAUGGGAGAGGGCAGUGGAAUUCCCGGUGUAGCGGUGAAAUGCGUAGAUAUCGGGAGGAACAUCAGUGGCGAAGGCGGCUGCCUGGCCCAAUACUGACACUCAGGUGCGACAGCGUGGGGAGCAAACAGG